rnacentral:tRNA from 2 species
GGGCCCGUGGGGUAGCUAGGAUAUCCUGUUGGCCUUCGAAGCCGAAGACCUGGGUUCGAAUCCCGGCGGGCCCG